rnacentral:lncRNA from 1 species
AACAUAUGCUCUCAUGAAAUGCGUCAUAACACAAACAAUACACAUCAAGGAUGGACUUGUCACCAGUAACCCUCUACAUAAUCCAAUGUGCCCGGCCCACUAUGGGAGCUCCUCAGGACUUUCGCUUAAACAUAACAUAUCCAAUAUGCCAGGGGUGUAGAAUGGGCCUCACCUGGACUUUCUCUUACAUCGUGUUAGGGGCGUAGAAUGGGCCUCACCUGGACUUCCAUACCGUAUCAUAUCAUAUCAUCUCGAGGGCUAGUGGGUCAUCCAAUAUCCAUCCACAACAACAGUAAAUUAUGCAAUGCAUCAUAUUCGUGAAUUCUAAUGCAAACAACCUAUUACAUAACAUGGCAUUCGUGAUGCAUGAACAUGCUCAAAAGUUUGAUUACUUUAAAACAAUAGAUUAGUUUAGUUCUACUCACCUCUGGCUGGCGCUUGACCACAACUGUAGCAGCUGACUCACUACUGGCCUCUACGGUCUCCCAGGUCCGAUCCUACAUAGAUGGACUCCUAUGAGGGACUAAGCAUAGCUAAUACAUGACUCUAACAACUUCCCAAAACCCCCCCCAAAACAUCAUAAAACAUGCAUAGAAAACAAGCAAAGGAAGGCUUGACAGGGGACUUUCGGUGGCAGGUUCAGAGACCGAAGGUCCUUACAGAUCUGAAAGUCAGACAUUUUCGGGGGUAGGUUCGGCGGCCGAAUGUCUCUACAGAUCCGAAAGCCACUAACCUUCGGGGGGCAGGUUCGGCAGCCAAAGGCUGCUUCCACUGGCAGGUUUGGCGGCCGAACCUUGCUUCGGCGGCCGAACCUUACUUCGGCGGCCGAACCUAGGUUCUCCAGAAUGGCAAAACCCAAUUCUGCCUCAAACGCUCAGCCACCAAAAAUCGCCAAAACUCAAACCCAACACCUCAAAAGUAUUCAUAUUCACUUCAACAUGCAUCAGGGGUAUAAAACUAGCCUAAACCCCAACAAACAACUAUAAAACAAUACAUAAGCAAACAUUCAUCAACACAACUAACACAAAUCCUAACACUUUAGAUCUAACCAAAACAUGCAUCUUUACCCCUCAACCCUUCAUAAAACUUAAUUAAAAAAUAAUAAAAGCAAGGAUCUACACUUACCUCUUGAAGAUCGAAGGUAUAUGUGACCCAAGCUUGGAGUUGAGGAGGAACGGUCUCCCAAACUUCAAAAUCCUUGAUCCAAGCUUAAAACUUCAAAAAUAAGAAGAAAACUCAUGAAUUUGUAAAAGAUUUGAAGGAAAACUAACAGGAACACAAAGAGAGGGCGUGAACUCACCUUUGCACGAAAAUGGAGAGGAAAACCCUCUCAUUUUCGGGCUGAAGGCCCUUUAUAGGUGGUUGGCCAGACCACCUUCGGGGGCCGAAAGGAGAGCUCUCGCGGCGGCACCAUGUUCGAUGGCCGAACCUGGGCUUUUCUCCAAAAACAAUUUUCUUUUCCUUUUAAAACUUUAACUAAAAACCAACCAAUAAAACCAUGAAAAUCAUUUUGUAAAAAUAUAUUUUACCCUUCUAGAGGUUCCAGAAUCCGAGAUUCCGGAUUCCAACAGAGAUUCCGUUGGAAGGUUGGAAUUCUGCGUUGGGGUCUAGCCGGGUAUUACAUUCUUCCCCCCUUAAGAACAUUCAUCCCCGAAUGUUCAAACAGCACACAUGCACACAUAACAUCAAGAAAGCACAUAAAACAUAAAACACUUACUUCAAAAGAGAUAGGGGUACUGCCUAAGCAUGGAUUCCCAGGUCUCCCAGGUGCAUUCUUCCAUAUUGUGGUGAUUCCAAAGGACUUUCACCAUCACAAUUUCCUUGUUCCUCAGCUUUCUGAUUUGUGUGUCUAUGAUCCGCACCGGCUGCUCAACAUAGGUGAGAUCUCCUAGGAUCUCUACCUCUGGUUCAUUAAGAACUUUACUCGGAUCCGACACGAACUUUCAUAACAUGGAAACAUGGAAAACCGGAUGGAUUCUCUCCAUUCAAGCGGAUAAAUCUAACUUGUAGGAUACAUUCCCAAUCCUCUGUAGGAUUUCGAAGGGUCCGAUGUAUCUUGGAGCUAGCUUACCCUUCUUCCUAAAAUGAAUCACUCCCUUCAUAGGAGACACCUUAAGCAAUACCCUAUCCCCCUCUUGGAAAACAACAUGCUUCCUGCGGAUGUCUGCAUAACUCUUCUGCCUGCUCAUUGCUGUUUUGAUCCUCUCUCUAAUGAUAGGCACUACCCUGCUGGUGAUCUCUACUAGCUCUGGUCCUGCCAAAGCCCUCUCUCCCACUUCUUCCCAACAGACGGGUGACCUGCACUUCCUCCCAUAUAGAGCUUCAUAAGGAGCCAUCCCAAUGCUAGCAUGGUAACUGUUGUUGUAGGCAAACUCCACCAACGGUAGAUGUUGUCUUCAAGAACCGCCAAAAUCUAGCACACACAUUCUCAACAUGUCUUCUAUCAUUUGGAUGGCCCUUUCUGACUGUCCGUCAGUCUAUGGAUGGAAGGCAGUGCUAAAGUCUAGCCUUGUGCCCAUAGCAUUCUGCAGACUCCGCCAAAAUCUGGAGGUAAACUGGGGUCCCCGAUCUGACACUAUUGAAACUGGAGACCCAUGAAGCCUAACGAUCUCCUCCACAUAAACCUGUGCCAGCUUGUCCACCGAGUAACCACUCCUGACAGGAAUGAAGUGAGCAGAUUUGGUCAAUCUGUCCACUAUUACCCAUACAGAGUCUAAUCUGUUGGACGUGGCUGGUAACCCCACUACAAAGUCCAUCGCUAUAUUUUUCCAUUUCUAUUCUGGAAUCAGUAGUGGUUUGAGCAUCCCAGCUGGCUUCUGAUGCUCUAGCUUCACCCUCUGACAUAUUUCGCAAGUGGAUACAAACUGCACCACUUCCUUCUUCAUAGCUGACCACCAAUAAACUCUCUUUAGAUCCUGGCACAUUUUGGUGGCCCUAGGGUGAACACUAUAUCUGGCAUUAUGAGCUUCCCUCAUAAUGUCUCCCUUCAAAUUUACGUCAUCUGGUACGCAUAACCUGUUCCCAUAACGGAGGAUCCCUUUGUUGUCGAAUCUAAACUCUUCAUUCUUGCCUGACUGAACAGUCCUGGCAAUUUUUACCAACUCGGGGUCCUCAUACUGUUUCUGCACCACUUGCUCCAGAAACACGGGUGUCACUCUCAUCUGAGCCACAAGUGCACCUGUACCAGACAACUCUAACCGUAAACCCUCAUUGAUGAGCUUGUAAAAUUCUCUCACCACCGGUCUUCUCUCUGCUGAAAUAUGGGAUAAACUGCCAAGUGAUUUCCGGCUGAGGGCGUCUGCCACUACAUUUGCCUUACCCGGAUGAUAUUGGAUCUUGCAAUCAUAAUCAUUAAGCGGUUCCACCCAUCUUCUCUGCCUCAGAUUCAAUUCUUUCUGACUCAAGAUGUACUGCAAACUUUUAUGAUCUGUAAAGAUCUCACAUUUUACCCCAUACAGGUAAUGCCUCCACAUCUUGAGUGCAAAGAUCACAACUGCCAUCUCUAGAUUGUGUGUAGGAUAAUUCAACUCGUGCUUCUUCAGUUGUCUAGAAGCAUAAGCAAUUACCCUUUCAUCCUGCAUUAACACACAACCUAGUCCCACUUGGGAUGCAUCACAAAAUACUGUGAAGUCUUCAUUACUCGUAAGCAGAGCUAACACCAGUGCUGACGUCAACCUUCUUUUCAGCUCUUCAAAACUCUCUUCACAUUGUUCUGACCAAACAAACCUCUGAUUCUUUUUGGUCAGCCUGGUCAUAGGAGCAACAAUUUUUGAGAAGUCUUGAACGAACCUCCUGUAGUAACCUGCCAAACCCAAAAAGCUUUUAAUCUCUAUUACUGUAGUGGGUCUGGGCCAGUUAGCUACAGCUUUAACAUUCUUAGGGUCCACCUCGAUUACCUUUUCUGACACCACAUGCCCUAAGAAAGAAAUGCUCCUCAACCAGAAUUCACACUUAGAGAACUUGGCAUACAAGCCGUGUUCUCUCAGGGUCUGCAACACAAUCCUCAGAUGAUGGGCAUGCUCCUCCGCGUUUCUGGAAUACACUAAGAUAUCGUCAAUGAAAACAAUAACAAAGUGAUUCAAGAACUGGCUAAAAACUCUGUUCAUGAGGUCCAUGAAUGCUGCAGGGGCAUUGGUCAGCCCGAACGGCAUCACUAGGAACUCAUAAUGCCCAUAUAUGGUCCUGAAAGCUGUCUUUGGCACAUCUUCUUCUCUGACCCUCAACUGGUAGUACCCGGAUCUCAGAUCUAUCUUGGAAAAGCAAUUGGCUCCUGCUAGCUGGUCAAAAAGAUCAUCAAUCCUAGGUAAUGGAUAUUUGUUCUUGGUAGUGACUUUGUUCAACUGUCUGUAGUCGAUACAAAGUCUUAAGGAUCCAUCCUUCUUUUUCACGAAUAACACUGGAGCACCCCAAGGCGAGGUACUAGGUCGGAUGAAACCCUUAUCUACCAACUCUUGCAACUAUUCUUUCAACUCCUUUAACUCUGCAGGUGCCAUCCUGUAGGGAGGAAUAGAGAUGGGUCUGGUUCCUGGCAUCACUUCAAUUUCAAACUCUAUCUCCCUAGCAGGUGGUAAACCUGACAGCUCGUCUGGGAAAACAUCAAGGAAUUCUCUAACUACGGGCACUGAAGCUGGUUCCCUGACCUGACUGUUAAGCUCUCUGACAUGAGCAAGAAACCCUUGACAACCCCUCCUAAGCAACCUACGAGCCUGAAGGGCUGAUAUCAAACCUCUAGGCAUCCCUACUCUAUCUCCUCUAAAGACAACCUCUGACCCAUCUUGUUCUCUGAACCUGAUUACCUUGUCUCUGCAGUCCAAGGUAGCACCAUGAGUAGAAAGCCAAUCUAUCCCUAGAAUGACGUCAAAAUCAGUCAAAUCUAGAAACACAAGGUCAGCUGGAAGGCAUCUACCCUCAAUAAAAACUGGACUGAACCGGCAGACUGACUCUAUCACAGAUGGAUCACACUUAGGCCCACUAACCCAAAGAGGACACUCUAACCCAGAAGCUAUCAAAUCCACUCUGUCUAUGGCUCUCAGAGCAACAAAAGAAUGAGAAGCACCAGGGUCCAUAAGAGCAUACACAUCAGAACAUCCAAUAGUGAGGUUACCUGACACCACCGUGUUUAAUGUGUUAGCCUCCUGCUGAGUCAUAGUGAAGAUUCAUGCUGGAGCUGAUGGACCUUCUCCUUGGGAACCUACGGAAGAAGAGGCUGCCCCUCUCCCUCUACCAUGCCCUCUGCCCUGAGAUGUGGCUAAAGCUGCUGGUUGUGCUACACUACCAGAAGCUGUCUGCUGGGACUGUACCAUCAAGGUUGCAUUGGGACACUCACGUACCAUAUGCCCCUCUUGUCCGCAUCUGAAACAUGCUGUAGUCCCAAACCGACAGAUCCCUUUGUGCGGCUUACCGCACCUCAUACAUCCGGAACUAUCCGAAUCAGAGGUUGAACCACCACCCAUUCCUAGACCAGACUUCAAUCGGUUCCAGAACUUGUUCUUCUUUGGCUUUCUGGUGGCUCUAUCCCACUUUUUACCCUUUGAGGCAGCUGCACUCAGAGAGGAGAGAUCAAUAUUCCCUGUUCCCAAGGUUUUAGAACCCGAGAACUGUGCCACCUGUUGUUUAACUAUCCCUUGAAUAAUGGCACUAGCCUCCAUCUUCCUAGCUGCAUCCACUAUGGUGUGAAAACUCUCCUUCUCUGCUGCUAAGAUCAGGGAGGAAUACCUAGAGUGGAGUCUCAUGGUAUACCUCCUGACUUUCUUCUGAUCCGUAUCAUAUGUCUGUCCCACAAACUGGAGCAACUCCAGGAAUUUUUUUGUGUACUCAUUUACACUUAUGUCUUUAGUUUGUCUCAGCUGCUCGAACUCAAUUACUUUCAGCUCUCUAGAACUGUCUGAAAAAGCCCAUCCUGCAAAUUCAUUUGCAAACUGCUCCCAGGAUAAGCUGUCCAAUCUCGGGUCCACAUAGUUCUUGAACCAUUCCUUCGCUUUCUUACAUUUCAGAGUGAACCUCACCAUCUGAAUGGCUCUGCUAUUACUAGCCCCCAAUUCAUCAGUUAUCAUUUUCACCGUCUUGAGAUACUCAAACGGAUCAUCACCUAUCUUAAACUUGGGAGCAUCCAACUUCAGAUGAUCUGUCAUUUUCACUUUGCUCCCAUCUGAUGGGUUGGGUCUAGAUGAUUGGGUUUCAGGAACCCUUGGUUCUAUUGGGAGAGGAGGAGGUGGUGCAACAUUCCCUGGAUUAGGGUUUGUUGGAUUCUGAUAGAAAGGUGGGGUGAAAACAUCGGGUAGGGUGGAUAUGGUGGGUAAAAGGGAGGAUAUGGCAUGAAUGAGGGAUAUGGGUUGUAGCUAGAGAAAUCUGAUGUGCCUCCCAUCGAAUACCCGGGUCCCUGUGGAUAGGGUUGGUACUGUGGUGGAUAAGUAUAACCCGAGGCCUGAGUGCCUCCUUGUGAUUCUCCCAUAUCCUCUUCUGACAUACUCACACCCAAACUGCCAUCCCUUCUCUGAUCAUCUUCCACUGUUUUCCUCACAUCCGCAGACAUCUUUCCCGGAUCUGUUCUCCUCCUAUUUACAUCAAAAGACCUUCUAGGGUCCCUUGAUGUUUCCCCUCUGCUGGUUCUACUAGACCUUGCUCUUGGCAGAGUAGGGGGUAGGGCGUCCAUGCCCUCAUUCUCAGGUGGAACUCUAGUCAAUAGUGCAGAUCGACGAGUGCCUCGCAUUCUGAUUUCUGAAAAGACAACAUACAUCACAUAAACAUUAGCAUCAUAUGGUUCAUGUGGUCACACAUGAACCCAUAUCAUAUACAUAACAUAUCAUUAAUGCUCAUGCAUAAAGUCAUGGCAUUUCACAUCAUCAUCAAGACAGGACGCUACAUCCUAUCCUAGAGGACAUGAUUUUUUUUCCCUAAUGUUCUUGCCCUUCUAUACCAUCUAUGAGCCCGACACGCUAGGUCCGACCAUAUGAACCUAGGGCUCUAAUACCACUCUGUAACGACUCGGAAAUCGGACCGCUACCGGCGCUAGGAUUCAGAUCGACUUAAGGUCACCAGAACCCGUAGCAAGCCUACUAUACAUCCUAUGUACCUGAUAAAAUCCCAUACAUGAUCAUACAUUUUCAUAAAAAUUUUAAACAUUUUAUAUACCAAGCUCAACCUGUGCAUGCAUUAUAAACUGUACAUAUAAAACCCACACUAAAGCCCUCAUCAAUUACUCUAGUAUGGUCAACAUCACAUGCAUCAAGCUUGGUUCAACGUAACUCAUCAUUAAAACUUUUACAUAAUAAUCAUGUUCACCGGAAUUUACAAAACAUAAACUAGGGCAAAGCACAAGUCUAAUCCAUUACAUAGUACAUGUCCACUACUAAUCUAUUACAUAAACUUAUACCAGCCUCUAGCCGACUUUUCGAGCUAUUCUUGACCCUGCAAACCUAGGGUUAGGGGAGAGGGAUAAGCUACAAGAGCCUAGUGAGCAGAACAUAAAAACAGUUUAAUAAAUAUAUGCUCUCAUGAAAUGCGUCACAACACAAACAAUACACAUCAAGGAUGGACUUGUCACCAGUAACCCUCUACAUAAUCCAAUGUGUCCGGCCCACUAUGGGAGCUCCUCAGGGCUUUCGCUUAAACAUAACAUAUCCAAUAUGCCAGGGGCAUAGAAUGGGCCUCACCUGGACUUUCCCUUACAUCGUGCCAGGGGCGUAGAAUGGGCCUCACCUGGACUUCCAUACCGUAUCAUAUCAUAUCAUAUCAAGGGCUAGUGGGUCAUCCAAUAUCCAUCCACAAUAACAGUAAAUUAUGCAAUGCAUCAUAUUCAUGAAUUCUAAUGCAAACAACCUAUUACAUAACAUGGCAUUCGUGAUGCAUGAACAUGCUCAAAAGUUUGAUUACUUUAAAACAAUAGAUUAGUUUAGU